rnacentral:rRNA from 1 species
GAACUGAAGAGUUUGAUCAUGGCUCAGAUUGAACGCUGGCGGCAGGCCUAACACAUGCAAGUCGAGCGGAUGAAGGGAGCUUGCUCCUGGAUUCAGCGGCGGACGGGUGAGUAAUGCCUAGGAAUCUGCCUGGUAGUGGGGGAUAACGUCCGGAAACGGGCGCUAAUACCGCAUACGUCCUGAGGG